AGCGCUUAAAGUCUUGUAAUUGGAAUGAUGGGAAUCUAAACCCUUCCCAGAGUAUCAAUUGGAGGGCAAGUCUGGUGCCAGCAGCCGCGGUAAUUCCAGCUCCAAUAGCGUAUAUUAAAGUUGUUGCAGUUAAGAAGCUCGUAGUUGAAUUUCUGCCUUGUCAUUAAUCUCGCUUCCGAGCGUUUUUUUAUUGGCUUGGCAUCUUCUGGAUUUGGUGCCUUCGGGUACUAUUUUCCAGGAUUUACUUUGAGAAAACUAGAGUGUUUCAAACAGGCAUUCGCCUUGAAUACUACAGCAUGGAAUAAUGAAGUAGGACUUUGGUUCUAUUUUGUUGGUUAUUGAGCCAGAGUAAUGGUUAAUAGGAGCAGUUGGGGGCAUUCGUAUUUAACUGUCAGAGGUGAAAUUCUUAGAUUUGUUAAAGACGAACUACUGCGAAAGCAUUUGCCAAGGAUGUUUUCAUUAAUCAAGAACGAAAGUUAGGGGAUCGAAGACGAUCAGAUACCGUCGUAGUCCUAACCAUAAACUAUGCCGACUAGAGAUUGGAGGUCGUCAGUUUAAAC
rnacentral:rRNA from 1 species